rnacentral:rRNA from 1 species
AAAGAUUAAGCCAUGCAUGUCUAAGUAUAAACGAUCUAAUCGUGAAACCGCGAAUGGCUCGUUAUAACAGCUAAAAUCUACUUGAUCUUGACACAAUCCUACUUGGAUAACUGUGGUAAUUCUAGAGCUAAUACAUGCAUUAAAGCUCUGACCUCACGGGAAGAGUGCACUUAUUAGAACAAAACCAAGCGGCUUCGGCUGUUUCUGGUUGACUCAUAGUAACUGAGCUGAUCGCACGGUCUUGCACCGGCGACGUGUCUUUCGAGUAUCUGCCGUAUCAACUUUCGAUGGUAGUGUAUCUGACUACCAUGGUGAUCACGCGUAACGGAGAAUAAGGGUUCGGCUCCGGAGAGUUCGCCUGAGAAAUCGCGAACACAUCUAAGGAAGGCAGCAGGCGCGAAAAUUACCCACUCUCAGCACGAGGAGGUAGUGACGAAAAAUAACGAGACCGUUCUCUUAUGAGGCCGGUCAUCGGAAUGGGUACAAUUUAAACCCUUUAACGAGUAUCUAUGAGAGGGCAAGUCUGGUGCCAGCAGCCGCGGUAAUUCCAGCUCUCAAAGUGCAUAGAAUUAUUGCUGCGGUUAAAAAGCUCGUAGUUGGAUCUGUGCCAUAGGACGUGGUCCACCUUCUGGGUGCGUACUAUGUUCCUAGGCUUUUUGCUGGUUUUCCCGUCGUAGCCUUAACUGGUUGCGGCGGGUGGCUGGCGAGUUUACUUUGAGAAAAUCAGAGUGCUCAACACAGGCGUAUCGCUUGAAUGAUUGUGCAUGGAAUAAUAGAAAAGGAUUUCGGUCCUCUUUUAUUGGUUUUGUGGACUGAGAUAAUGGUUAACAGGGACCAACGGGGGCAUUCGUAUCGCUGCGUGAGAGGUGAAAUUCUUGGACCGUAGCGAGACGCCCUACUGCGAAAGCAUUUGCCAAGAAUG